GCUUCGCCGACCAUCACACUUCGCCUUAGUAUCCAACUGUCAUGCUGAAAAAGAAGAUAAUGAGCUACUUGGGGACCAGCAAUUGACAUGUAUGGUAAGUGGCAUGGGUAUACAGGCGCACUCUUCACGGAGCAACCACUUGUCUGUGUCGUCUGCAAACGGUCCGAUGGCCGGUAAUACCCAGUCAUUGCCGAACAGUCAUACUAGUAACGCACCUGGCCCGACUCCAACCAUCCCAGUCCAGCCGGUCGCCGCAGAUUUCCUGCCCGCAUCCACGUCCACUCCGCACCCCAGUGUCCGGCAAGAGAACGGGCCCAAUGCCAGGAGUUACGACGGGCCCACUGCCAGGAAUUACGAUAGGCUCACUGCCAGGAGUUACGAUAGGCCCGCUGCGAUAUCCGCUGGGCUUGUCCCCGCCAAUGU